rnacentral:rRNA from 1 species
GAAGCGAACGCGGUGAACUGAAACAUCUAAGUAACCGCAGGAAAAGAAAUCAACCGAGAUUCCCAGAGUAGUGGCGAGCGAAAUGGGACCAGCCUGUACUCUUUAUCUUCAUUGUUAGUCGAAGGCUCUGGAAAGUGCCGCCAUAGCAGGUGAUAGCCCUGUAGACGAAAACAGCGAGGAAGAACUGGGUGUACGACAAGUAGGGCGGGACACGUGAAAUCCUGUCUGAAGAUGGGGGGACCAUCCUCCAAGGCUAAAUACUCGUGAUCGACCGAUAGUGAACCAGUACCGUGAGGGAAAGGCGAAAAGAACCCCGGGAGGGGAGUGAAAUAGAUCCUGAAACCGCAUGCAUACAAACAGUAGGAGCCUCGCAAGGGGUGACUGCGUACCUUUUGUAUAAUGGGUCAGCGACUUACAUUCAGUGGCAAGCUUAACCGAUUAGGGCAGGCGUAGCGAAAGCGAGUCCGAACAGGGCGUUCAGUCGCUGGGUGUAGACCCGAAACCAGGUGAUCUAUCCAUGGCCAGGAUGAAGGUGCGGUAACACGUACUGGAGGUCCGAACCCACUAACGUUGAAAAGUUAGGGGAUGAGCUGUGGAUAGGGGUGAAAGGCUAAACAAACCUGGAAAUAGCUGGUUCUCUCCGAAAACUAUUUAGGUAGUGCCUCGUGUAUCACCUUCGGGGGUAGAGCACUGUCAUGGUUGUGGGGUCCAUUGCGGAUUACUACGCCAUAGCAAACUCCGAAUACCGAAGAGUGCAAUCACGGGAGACAGACAUCGGGUGCUAACGUCCGGUGUCAAGAGGGAAACAACCCAGACCGCCAGCUAAGGUCCCCAAAUAUUGCUAAGUGGGAAACGAAGUGGGAAGGCUAAAACAGUCAGGAGGUUGGCUUAGAAGCAGCCAUCCUUUAAAGAAAGCGUAAUAGCUCACUGAUCGAGUCGUCCUGCGCGGAAGAUGUAACGGGGCUAAGCAAUAUACCGAAGCUGCGGAUGCACACUAGUGUGCAUGGUAGGAGAGCGUUCCGUAAGCCUGCGAAGGUGCAUUGAAAAGUGCGCUGGAGGUAUCGGAAGUGCGAAUGCUGACAUGAGUAGCGAUAAAGGGGGUGAAAGGCCCCCUCGCCGUAAGCCCAAGGUUUCCUACGCAACGUUCAUCGGCGUAGGGUGAGUCGGCCCCUAAGGCGAGGCAGAAAUGCGUAGCUGAUGGGAAGCAGGUUAAUAUUCCUGCACCAUUGUUAAAUGCGAUGGGGGGACGGAUCGCGGAAGGUUGUCCGGGUGUUGGAAGUCCCGGUUCCUGUGUUGGAGAAGGCGCUUAGGCAAAUCCGGGCGCGGAAUUCAAGGGCAUGGGACGAGCCGCUUAGGCGGUGAAGCAACUGGAAGUGGUUCCAAGAAAAGCCUCUAAGCUUCAGUUUAACAAGACCGUACCGCAAACCGACACAGGUGGGCGAGAUGAGUAUUCUAAGGCGCUUGAGAGAACUCGGGAGAAGGAACUCGGCAAAUUGGUACCGUAACUUCGGGAUAAGGUACGCCCCUGUAGCUUGACUCGCCUGCGCGAGAAGGGUGAAGGGGUUGCAAUAAACUGGUGGCUGCGACUGUUUAAUAAAAACACAGCACUCUGCAAACACGAAAGUGGACGUAUAGGGUGUGACGCCUGCCCGGUGCCGG